rnacentral:rRNA from 1 species
GAUCAUGGCUCAGGACGGACGCUGGCGGCGUGCUUAACACAUGCAAGUCGAACGGAGAACUUUCUUCGGAAUGUUCUUAGUGGCGAACGGGUGAGUAACGCGUAGGCAACCUGCCCUCUGGUUGGGGACAACAUUCCGAAAGGGAUGCUAAUACCGAAUGAGAUCCUCUUUCCGCAUGGAGAGAGGAUGAAAGAUGGCCUCUACUUGUAAGCUAUCGCCAGAAGAUGGGCCUGCGU